AUCCAGCUGACGAGUCCCAAAUAGGACGAAAUGCGCAUCUCUCAAU
rfam:Trichobilharzia regenti genome assembly, scaffold: TRE_scaffold0044471